rnacentral:rRNA from 1 species
GACGAACGCUGGCGGCGUGCUUAACACAUGCAAGUCGUACGGUAAGGCCCUUUCGGGGGUACACGAGUGGCGAACGGGUGAGUAACACGUGAGUAACCUGCCCACAACUUUGGGAUAACGCUAGGAAACUGGUGCUAAUACUGGAUAUGUGCUCCUGCUGCAUGGUGUGGGUUGGAAAGCUCCGGCGGUUGUGGAUGGACUCGCGGCCUAUCAGCUUGUUGGUGGGGUAGUGGCCUACCAAGGCGGCGACGGGUAGCCGGCCUGAGAGGGUGACCGGCCACAUUGGGACUGAGAUACGGCCCAGACUCCUACGGGAGGCAGCAGUGGGGAAUAUUGCACAAUGGGCGCAAGCCUGAUGCAGCAACGCCGCGUGCGGGAUGACGGCCUUCGGGUUGUAAACCGCUUUCAGCAGGGACGAAGCUUUUUGUGACGGUACCUGCAGAAGAAGCACCGGCUAACUACGUG